rnacentral:rRNA from 1 species
AUUUGAGAGUUUGAUCCUGGCUCAGAACGAACGCUGGCGGCGCGCUUAAUACAUGCAAGUCGAACGAGAAGGUGUAGCAAUACACUUGUAAAGUGGCGAACGGGUGAGGAAUACAUGGGUAACCUACCCUCGAGUGGGGAACAACCAGCCGAAAGGUUGGCUAAUACCGCGUACGCUUCCGGGUCUUCGGAUUCGGAAGGAAAGUCAUACCGUGGGUAUGACGCUCAAGGAUGGGCUCAUGUCCUAUC